UAGCUCAGUGGUAGAGCUCCCGCUUCGUACGCGGGAAGGCGUGGGUUCGAAUCCCGG
rnacentral:tRNA from 1 species